CCCUCCCCCGUCCACCCUGCCGGCGGGGCCUCUCCGGCUCAGCUCCGGCUCGGGUGGAAGCCAAGCUGCGGACCGGAACUGUGGGAUCGGGUCGGGCCUGACUGGGGAGGGGAGGGUGUCAACACCGAGGCGGCCCGUGGCGGGUCGGGUGCGGCCGGCGGCGGUGGCUUCACUAGACAACUCCACUUGCAGUUUCGGUUCUGUACGUCAUCUUUCGGACACGGAGAGCGUCUAAAACCGAGAAAAGCCCACGAUCGCGUGCACACACCCCGGUAGGAACCGACCCCCGCUGUGAGCGCCCUGAGCGUUCGGGCUCGGAAAACCGAAACCCUCUGAGCCUACUCCCGAAAAGCAAAAGGGAGGUAUCACUGCUGCCGGAAGAGCAGACCCCCCGGGCGGAGCGCAGCCCAGGCUAUCCCUUACUCGGACUGGAAAGCUGGACCCCGGCUGCGAGACUCCACACGUGCAAGGUGAUGGGUCACCCGCAUCUCCCGAGCGUCUCCGCCCGUGUGCAGGCGGCGACUCGCUGCGCUUUUUUGCAUCUCCUGAAGCCGCUACCACGGUCAAAAUAGUGAAGUCCCCUGCCCAGCGGCCAGCGUGUGGACGUGGACGGCCCCCAUUCGGGCAGACCUCGGCUUCCAGGCACAGCCUAACCAAAAGCAUAGUUUUCUCGGAUGGCUGCAGAAAGAAAUAGAGGCAAAGAGCCUUCUGAAUUGUUUUCAGGGUUUAACCCCCUGCGGGCCUUUUCACGUUUGUUACCUUUACAGCCAAAGGAAGUCUGGAGUUGCAAAGAAGGCUGUCAAGGCCCAUAGCCAUGGAGCCAGCCAGCUGUGAAGACCAGGCUAUGGAGACCAGGCUGGCCUGGACACUCAGGUCCAAAACCAGGAUCCCAAGUAAAUCCUGCCUCCCGCCUCCAUUUUCCAGAAUGUUCUCAUACUGCCAAAAAAAUGACUAACACAGAAGCACUGAAGGAACCUAACACAAUAAAGGUUUUCCAGAGGUUUUCCUAUUACCAUGUCAGUCAUGGAAAUUACACAUUCUGGGACCAAAUGGCAAAAAUUUAGAAGGACACAGCUAGCCUUUCAAUCAUAAAUAUAUAUAUAUAUAUAUUGUACCUUGGAGGACCAGGGAAGGUAUAUUACUGGCAAUGGAGAAGAAUCAACAUCUCAGUAAACUUCAAGCAAGCAUGAUGAUUCUCCAAGAGCCUUGAAGACAAGUGAGUCAAUAAAAAUUCAUAGGAGAGAGCCAUUCUUACCAACUGAAGGUCUAUGAAAUGUCACUGAAUGCUUGUCUUUCUUUAGAGCUCAGUCCUUAUUGUUUUGUUUAGUGACUGUGGAAAGAUCCAUCUGGUUCUCUCCAGGUUCGCUAUGAAUGGUGUCCACCUGUUUUCCCCUGAAAGCUAGGUCUUAAGUUUCUUGAACUUGUACCACUGAGCUACAUCUCCAGCCUGGUAUUUUUGUUGAUUGUGGGUUUUUUUGUUUCUUUUUGUGUCGUUUUUUUUGGAAUCAAACUUUUGCAACUGUGGAAGGUCUACUGAAAACUUAAAUAGUAGAUUAAAAAAAUUUUUUAUGUA